rnacentral:lncRNA from 1 species
AAAAUUAUGUUAAUCCCUAAUUAAUAAAAAAAACAAGAAAAUCCCAAUUUAUACCCAGAUCAAAACAAUCAGCAUCAUGUUAAUCAACAAAAUUAAAUAAGAUUAAAAUAAAUUAGAAUCAUUAAGCAUGUACUAAUGGGGGAUUAUGGAAGACCAUGGGCCAUGGGGUGUGACCCAGUAUAGGGUGGUACAAGAAGAAGAACGCUUAGACCAUAGGCCUAAGCUCCCAAACAAUCCAAUAUGCCAAAAUUGGAUCAUGACGUUUCCCUAGCCUCAUGAACCAAGCUCCACGCACCCUCAACACCAUAUCCAUACAAACGAAAUAGUACGUGCAACACAUGAACCAAGCUUCCAAUCCUACGAACACGAAAUUUGCUUACUCGGUAGCUCCUGACUUCUAGCUAAACAUGGAGCUAUCAAAUGCGGCAUGAGGAAUCGCUUCGAAUUCACUUCAAUCUUGCAUGAAUAACUAAGGAUCUCAAAGAAUGAAGAAUUAAGAACAGUGGAAUCCACACGGAAUUUCAACACCACGAAGGAACAAGACCGAAAUUGAGUAUGAUUUUCCUUUGCACACACGAAAGAGAAGAGAUUGAACGGAAAAGAACUCACUGGAUUCAACGCUAACUCCCAAUGAUUUCAUCUCUUCUUUCGCUUAUGCAUGGUUGUUGUUGUUUUUAAUCUCGUCUUGAUGUGUGGAUUGAGGCGUGAUGGUGAAGAACAAAGAUAUUCAAUUGUUGUUUUUCGAUUCCCGAUUGUGAAAAGGUGAGAACCCUUUUGUUUUUUGAAUCACAAUGCCUCUGUUAUCUUCUCUCUUAUCUGCUAUGCAUCUGUUAGCUUUCGUCUUUUGAGUUCUUUCUGGUUGUGAAGUUAGAAGUUUGGUUAGGCUUUGGUCCAAGGUUAAGGGUGCUUACAUGUUUGUUUUCUCUUGGUUAAAAGUGGGAAGUUUGAGGUUAUGAAGGUUGAGAGGGAUUGAAGAGUCAGAGAUUGUUAGAGUUGUUAAGAGGGUGAUGAAGGUUCUGGAAAUCGUAUGGACUAAAGAGGGUGUUGAAGGGUUGUGUGGCUUUUAGGUGAGUGAAGGUGAGAGAGGAAAUUGAAGUCAGUUUUUUUAGGGUCGGUAUGAGGGAGAUUGAAGAGGUAUUGUUAAAUUAGUUAUGGAGGUUCAGAGUCUUUUUGCAAGUUUUGGAAAUUUACUGCAGGACUCAUUGAGGGUUCUUGGAAGGUUCGAUCCUAAUUCUGGUUUAUUGGAGGUUGAGGAAGUUAUUAAAAGGGUGAAUCGUGAAGUUCGAGAGUUCCCCCAUUGGAAGUUGAUAUGGAAUGUUUAAGAGGUUUUUUGUUGAGGGAGUUAGAGGAGGUUCUGAAAUGAGUUUGAAGGAGUUUGUUAUGGUAGUUAAGAGGUUGAGAAAUUAUGUUUUGUUAGUUCUGUUAUGAGGGUUCUCGAGUUCAGGGUUAGUGAAAAACAAUUAGAGGUCGUUGUUAGGUUUGUUGGCAGUUAGGUUAUGUUAAGGUAGAUUCGGUUAGUUAGAAAGGAUUGAAAUGGUUUUGUGAAUCAGUUGAUUAUAAGAAUAGUGAAGUUGUGAAUUUUUAGUUAGAAGUUUAACUAUGAACUCAUUUAGUUAGUGGUGAGUUGAGAAGUAGUUGGAAAAUGGUUAGGAAAAAGAGAAGUUGGUUUAUUUUAUUUUAUUAGGUUCUCAUUGUGAUUUCGCUGCUGCUACUUAUCAUGUAUGUGUGUUCUGUUGAUAUGCUUUUUUGAUGUGAAGUUAAAACGUAUAUUUUUGGCUUUGCUCAAUUUUAACCUUGUUUUGCUUCUUGUUGCAGAAUCCUUUUGGCCAUGUUUGGAUAGUCUCAUUUUGAGUUUACUUUUGUAUUCUCUCUCAUCAUUCAUGUUCCAUGUUCAAUGUAGGUAUUACUUCAUGGAGGAUGGUGGUUGAACCAAGGCAACAUGAUGACCAAUUUGGAUUAUAAAGCAUGAUGUGCUCGAGGUAAUCCAAAGAAUCAAGAUGGAAUUUGAAGAUUAGGAUUAAGAUUAGAAUGGGGAUUUAGGGAUUUAGGAUGAAAAAAGGGUUAGGGUUGACUUUGGUCAAAGUUGACCAAAAAGUCAAUUGUUUACCAAAGUCAACAUUUUGUCAUAAUAUUUUUUGCAUUUUUUUGAUGCAAUGAACAUUGUAACGGGUUGUAAUGAUGGAAUUUGCUUAUAUUUGAAUGAAAUUGAAUUGGUAUUGAAUUGAAUCUUGUAUAUGAAAUGAAUGACUUUACCAUAUCAUGAAUCAUUGUAUAAACAUGUUUAAAAGAGAUUGAAAUGGAUGAAUUGGUGAACUAAAUGAUGAACUUGAACAUGCCUAGGAUUAAUAUGAAUGAUAAAUAAGACCAUGACUUGAAUUAUAGACAAGACCAUGACUUUAGUGAACCAUUAACAUGAAGCAAAUAUCUUAGCAAGAACCAAGAAGCACAAAGAACUAGGACCCAAACAAGGAUACAUGGACCAAACCAAAGGCAUUACAAAAAAUUUGAAUAAAAGUGACUAGAUGAAAUAGACUAAGAAAACAAUGAACUAGGCACUAGGCAUGAGGAUAAUCCAGAUGAAAGGAUAUAAACAUGUACUUAGGCUAAAACCAAUGGACACAAGCAUAAGAUGCACAUAUGGUAGCAUGAAAUCAAUGUGAUAAAAACCAAGAGACCAACAUGAAUGACGAGACACAAAAGGUUAUUGAAUGAACUCUAGCCAAGCAAGAGAAUCAAGCACCAAUAGCAAGAAGGAGAAUCAUAUGAAAUUAGGGUUAUGAGGUCACACAAAGGGCAUUAACACCACAUAUCCCUUGAUUACAGGUUCCAUGAGCAUACCCUUCAAUCAAGGUCUUUGAAUUAAUCAAGAUGCUUCACAAGAAAAUCUCCAAUGUAUGAGUUUUGAACUAGGUUUUAGAUAGCCAAUACAAGGCCCAAGGAGUACCCACAAGGUCCCUUAGCCAAAUCAUCAAUAAAUUAGGGUUUGAAUGCCCUAAGGAGUGUCAUGAUGUGGUUUUAUUGAAUCCAUGCUUCAGAGACCAAGAAAUUAGGGUUUUCACUCCCAAGAUGAUCAAAUGAAGAGUCAUGCCACAUAUCUAAGAUGUGAUCUACAAGCAAACCCUAGCUUUGUAAGCCACGAGCUUUGAAUCCCUGAUAAUCAAUUGUCAAAUGUUCAUAUAAAUGAAUGAUGCACUUGAAUGAAAUAUGAAUGUAUACAGAUGAAUCUCAAGUCAAGGGUUGCGUGAAAAAAUGAAAAGGGGAGGGCAAAUUUUGGGGUAUGACAGUUGCCCCUAUUUAAUCUUAAACUUUAAUGCGUGAAUUACGAGAGCUUUUCAGGUAUUUGAGGUAGAAGAGGAUUAAAUACCAAUGUAUCCAAAAAUAUGGCCGUUGAGAACGGUCACAUGGAAUAUUGAAAUGGAAGUUAGACUUUUAGGUUCAUCUGUUGGGGGUUGGAUUGAAAUAUUUUAUGGGGAAAUCAAUUAAUCAAAGGAGAGACAUGAUAUGCAUGUUAUAUGUAAUGUAUGUUUCGUUUUUUAUGAUGAUGUAUGCAUGCUUUUGUGGCCAUAUGGAUGAUGUCCACAAGGUAGGAAUUUUGGCAUAGGGGAGACUUUGACUCGUCACUGGCCACACCAAAGGAACUGUUGUUUAUGAGAAUGCUCUAUAUUACCACCAUUGUUGGGGAUUUCACAUGAUUCUGCUGGGGAGCACAAAGGUAUAUGAUCUAAUCGGACAAUCAUUGAGAUGCUUCUAGGUAUCGAAAACAUUUGAGGUAAUUAAAGUAACCCAUACAUUUUUGCUUAGAUACCCUCAAGGUUUCAUGCUAUGAGCGAAGCGACAUGAUUACCACAUGGUGAUGAUUUAUGCAAUGAUUAACCUGAUGCCUACAUUGCGGGUGGUGAGAUAUUUAGGGCUAUGAUAAGGGUGGUUAAGACAUGACCCUCCAUUACCAACUUUAGGCUCAACAACGUUGACACACCUAUGCGCUUGAUUUGAAACAUGGAGGGAGCUUGUACAUUUGUAACUUGCCUUUGCCCCAGUUUGUUGGGUAUCUGCGUGAAUUGCCUCAGUCACAAAGUUAUGAAGCAACCUUGUCGUAUGAAGAUCUCAAACUAGUUUUCCCCAACGUGUUGGAAUUGUAUCCUCUUGAUUAACCAUUUAUGGGAGUGAUUGGAUUCUCGUGCUCUUGGGGUGGCCUACCCCAAUAUGAGCCUUGAAGUGAUUUUGCCCCUGUCUGGAUGAUUCAAAGAGAUUUUUCGAAUCUCGACGUGAUUGCCAUAGGUUGACUGAAUCUUAAAGAAGAUAUCUGUGUUGUGGGAUAUCAAAAGAAAUGUUGAACCUUCCCAUUGUGUAAGAUUUCUUGAUUCCAAGUGCAUGUUCGCUAGUUAAAUGCUCAUUUUAAAAAUUAUAAUUAUAAUGUCAUGCUCAUGCAAGUUUUGAAACUCAAGUAUGUUCACUAAGAUUAUGACAUAUGGUGAAUGAAUCACUAGUUAGAAUGUCAUAUCAAUAUCAAUACAGAUGAUAAGCAAAUAUUUAAGAAACAGUUUUGACGCGAUAUUACCAUAGUAUGCUUUCGAAAUAAACCUAGCUUUAAUUAGGUAUUUUAAGGGUUGUAAUGUGGUCUGGUUCACGGUUUCAGAAAUAUUGGAUAUAAGGCUCAAAACCUAUUCUAACCUAUCCAUUCUCCGUGAUGUUCUUCAGUCCUACAUUCAGUUAGCUUGAAACAAGCUUCCAUCUUACAGAAUAGGGUUUUGGAUAAUAGCGGUGAUGGUUAUGGAACCCAAUGAGAGUUUGGAGUGACAAUCAUUCACCUUUUACUUUUGUUUGGAGCCACACGAAUUUUCUCUUGUUGAGGAAUUUGUCAUUGAUCUUUUUUUUUUCUUUUGCUUCAUUUUCCCUUAUUUUUGCCUGGACUGAUCCUUUGGGUUUUGCCGUCCACCGGGAUGCCCUAACUUUUGCCUAAGUCAACCUUGUUUUCAAGUUUUUGACUUAACGAGCUUUUCUUCUACUUUUGAUUUUUCAAUUCUCAUCUCUUUCUAUUGGAGCAAAUCCUGUGAUAUUUACUUGCUUGAUUUGUUGCAAGGGUCAUGACUGUCUCACUCCUUUUGUUGGUAAGGGAUAACCAUUGUUAAUUUGUGAUUUAAUCCUCUUGAGAGGGAUAUGAUGUGAUCGAUCACUUGAUGGGAUGUUCUCCUUUUGAAUUUUGAAAGCAAGUUCAAACUAACUGAAGACUACCCCACCCCUGGUUAAAAUUAAGGGUUUUAUAUACAGAAAGGAUCUCUUACUUCAAGGCCCAAAGGGGUUGACUAAGGAUUAUCUUCCUUAUAUCUCCGAUGUUUAGGGAUUUGAAACAAUGACUUACAUCAUCAAUAUGGUUUUAUUCAAAAGCAUACAUAUAUUGAUCUUGCGUAUUUUAUUUGCAUCAUUCUCUUUUGAUUUUGCCUGGAAAAUAGUUUGAUACUGAUAAACAAAAUAUGAGUGAACAUAAAUGGGUUUACUCAAAACAUGCAUGUUUAUUUCAUUAUUAUUAUCAUCUGAAAACAAACAGGUUUUACAAGUGAACCAUGCUUAACAAACAAGAAAAGAUUACAAAUGCAAAUGAUGAUCAGUACGAUGGUAGCGAAAUCUAGCAGGCUCAAUUUGUUUGGGCACAAUUGCCCUAACAUUAAUCAGUAUAGGUAGCAGAUGUGCAUAAGACGUAUGAAUCAGGUCAUAGCAAGGACGUCUCCUUUCUCGAUUGUUGUUUCCUUUGCUGAUUUGCCACUACUUCGAUUUAUGAUUGCCUUGAGUAGGCCUCUGACGUGGUAAGGGAGGCUGUUAUUGGAGAGGAAGUGGAAGAACGCUUGUAGUUACAUUCAGCUUUGCCUUCGACAUAAUCCAAACUCUUCUUACAAAUAGUGUCCUCAUGAUUAAUCUAUUCCAUGGUUCUCUGGCAGUCAAUGUCAGCGAAUUAUUAUCUCUCUUUGGAGAAAGGGAGAUAGUAUAAGCAUUUUGUUUUUUGUAUGAAGGUAUGAAUGCAUGGAUGAAUGAGAUGCAUGAAAAAAGAAAAUAUUUUCCUACUUCUAGGGAGUUCCAAGAUUUUAGGAUGUUCAACACAAACUAAAGCUUUUGGAUUCCCUAAGAGUACACAUGAUAAAAUUGAUUUUGUUAUGAUGUCAUGAAAUGCAACAUCACAGAUCCAAACUCUGUUCCAUCUGAAAAAUCUACCCAAUCUUCUCAGCACAAGUUCAAAGGUCUGACGAAUCAAGGUAUGAAGAUGCUUAGUUUCCUGCACAUAACCCAUAUUCCCUCACAAGUUAGGUUCUAAGACUUUAUGAAGAUUCUUAGAGUCACGAAUACUGAGGCGAAAAUAUCAUCGUCGCCAUAAAAUUACUUAUGAGCCAACAAUAUCUUCAGGAGCAUCUACUCUAAGUGAGACCAAGUCUCAACUUCAAAAGUUGUAGUUUAAAUAAAGGUCGUCAGAGUCAUGGAUCCUUUUUGGAAGAAUGGUUGUCAGCGCAAAAAUGACUUACGUGUCAGGGAAACUCCAAAAAGAAUCUACUCCAAGCGGGUAACUCAUACCUUCCCCCCAAGACAACUACGUCCUAAGGGUUAAUAUGAGGCUCCCUCCUAUCAUACAUAAGCUCUCUAAGCAUGUGUAUUAGGCUUCUCACUCAAUAGCGUAAUGAAGCCAUCCCAUAAGAGAAAGAUAACAGAUAUAUCCAAGACAAUAAUAUACAAAAGCAAUAAGGCAUGUUAUAAUAAUAUAAAGCAAGUAACAAUAGCAAAGAUAAACAUCCAAACAAACAAAGGAAACAAACAAAACUAGGUUAAACUCCUUUUAGCGACUAGGAAGUAUUCCAAGUAGCAAAAUCUCCCCAACAGAGUUUCAAGUUGAAGCUAGCAGAAAUAUACCUGAAUGCAUCACACACUCGAACAUACAACAGAGUCGCCAUCGAACUUUAUUAAUUCCCGAAGGAAAUGGAAAACAUCGAUAAAACCCGGGGAAAGAGAUAACUGGGUAAGGAGGUCGAUUAUGCAAGGGGAAUGUAUUAACACCCCUUACAUCUAUUAUACUAAACGGGAACCAUUUUGAUUGUUCUUGCUCGAAUGGGUGUUAUAUCUAAAGUUUACUCGCGAAAGGAUAAAGGAAAUAAAAUAAUAUAUAGAGUGCUCGGUGAGGAUUGGGGCCCUGAUGCCUACAUAUCAUUAUAAUGCAAUAAAUAAUUAAGAACUCUGUAGUUCAUAGAACUAAUGGUGGGAGGUGAAAAGAAGUUUUGAUAAAGGUAUGACCUGAACCAAAGGAUUAUAUUGUUUGACUCCAAAAAAGGGAUGAAAUUUGAAAACAAGAGUAAAAUUGGCGUGAAUAAUAUGUGGGUAGCCUAAGGCGUGGUGGCACUACAUGGUAUGGCCGGAAACAAAGAGAAUUAAGUGUUUGGUUUCGUAUCCAAACAAAUCUUGGUUCAUAAGCAUACACAAGAUGAAGCUCAAAUAGAUAGUGUAUGUGGCCCAAAGAUAUCAGUGUAUCACAUGAAGUGAAUGAAGGUAGUAGAUAUUGAAUGAAGGUCGUUAUUAAUGGUCCAUGGAGUGGAUGGAUGAUGCCCUAAGGCAGAAGGAAUGAUUAAGGAUGUGCUCACCAAGGAUUCACAUCCUCGUGCCUACGUAUUCUCAUCGUGUAUUGAGAAAGUCAGAGCAUUCGUAGUUCGUGGAACCACGAGAACAAAGGAGAAAUAUUGAAAGUGAUGAAAAAUAUAACUUGUACCAACAAAUUGGUGGGAACAAAGAGGUGUUUGCCUAAGCAACAUGAACUCACAAGACAAACACAACUCCAAAGGUUAACUGCAAUGAAAACCUGUACCAACAGACAACAGUGGAAACAAAUAGGUGUUUGCUUAAGCAACAGGGACUCACAAGAUAAACACAACUUCAAAAGUUAACUGCAGUAGAAACUUGGAUCAACAGACAAUGGUGGAAACAAAGAGGUGUUUGCCUAAGCAACAGGGACUCACAAUACAAACACAACUUCACUUCAAGGGUUGGCUGUAGCAGAAGCUUGUACCAAUAGAUAAAGGUGGAAACAAAUAAGUGUUUGUUUAAGCAACGGAGACUCAAAAGACAAACACAACUUCACUUUAAGGGUUGGUUGUAGUAUUGUUUAGUAUAGGAAAUAAUAUAUCAGUGUAUGGAUUAAAAAAUUUGAAAUCAAAGAAGAAUUAUAUAUUGGAUCCAUGAAGGAAUAAUCUCUGAACCAAAGAGUAAACAUGCAUCUUAGUCAAAAAAGAAGGAAUAAAGUGUUUGGUUUCGUAGGACAAACAUCUCUUGGUUCACAAGAAGGCAUCGUUUAUGGAAUCCAAAGGAAAUGUAUUUGAUAUGAAAAAGAUGGUAUUGAUUGAAUGGAGAAAUAAUAGAUAAGAUAAAAAUAAAUAAGGUAGGAAUAAUAAAUAGGGUAGCUCGCGGAGAAUCUGAAUCCUCGUGCCUAUGUAUUCUCACUAUGCAAUGAGAAAGUCAGAGCAUUCGUAUUUUAGCCAACUACAAAAAUAAAGAAAGAAAAAGGAUGUUUGUCAACGCGACUAGGACUAACAAGACAAUAAAUAGAUAAAGGGUAUAUGUGAAUUCCAAAGGGAUUAUGGUAUUUGGUUCCAAGAAGGAUGAUGCAACAAUGUUAAGAAAUUGAGAAGUGAUAUUGCUGGUAUUGGACAAAGGGUUAAGGGAGAGAAGAAGAGAGCCCUAAGGUGGAAGAAUCUCUUGGAGUUGAUUAUGAUUAUGAUUUUUUUUUAUAAGUUCAACCAUUUGUACUUAGAGGAAGCCUAGUGUCUAACCACCGACUAACUACGACCGACAAUAAGAGCACUUGUGAGUUAAGAGGACAACUUCAUCCGAACCACACUUUGCCUCUUAGAAUAAUGAUUUGGACUCACAUUUAUUUAUUAAAUGUUUUAAAUAGAAGCCAAACAUCGGGCCCUCAAGCUAGGUACGACCGACAACCAAGGUACUUGAGUGUUGUGCACAAGUACGCACACCCCAUUUUUCAUUCAAGUUUUAUUAUAAAAAUGGUUUGAUGAAUAAAAGUGAAUCAAAGAUAUAAUGAGAUAGGAAUGCAAUGGAAUAUGAAUAAAAUGGAUUGAGAUAAGGAUAAAGAUAGGAUAUGGAAUGGAAAAAGAGAUACUUAACAUUGGAUUAAAUGUGUUUUUAUUAUUUUGAAAAGAUGUGUUUAUCAUUUGAUUUUAUCUUUCUAAGUAGCAUGCAAUGAAAGUGAUAAAAGAACGAUAAAUCUAGACUAUUACACUUUCAUGGGAGAGGGAGACAUAUAACCCACCAUGGGGGGAUGAUACACCAUAAAUACAAAGAUAGAAACGGGAUCAUAUAAGUUACAAACCAGGUACCAUGCCUAAAACAUACAAGUGACAUGGUAUCCUCAAACAAUACAAGUCGAUUAAAUGAAUUAAAGGCAUUGAUAGUUUGGAAUGUACUUGAAUCUUAAAUUCACAUAUGGACACAUACAACAAAUGGGUUAGUAUGUGUCGCACCUCGAAAAAUGGGAACACGACUUAGCGAAGCGCAAUCGCAUGCUCGCAAUGAUGGACUGAACAGAGUCGCCACCGAACUUUAUUUAUUCCUAAAAAGGAAAGGGGAAAUAUCGAUAAAACCCAAGAAAGAACGACAAUGAUUAUGUUCGUCGCAACCAAUAUCAGGGUUAGGGAGUCGUUACGCAAGGGGAAGGUAUUAACACCCCUCACGUCCAUUGUACUCAACGGGAACCAUUAGGUUAGUUGUGUGCAUUAGUGUUAGUUUGAAAUGUUAGGCUUUUCAAGUUAUUAAGUGGAAAAGAAUAGAAGAGAGGAGAAUAUUUUUGGAUUUUUGACGAAGGACUAAACCUAAGUUUUUUAUUAGUGGACCUGACAAGAUUUACAAAUCAUGCUCCUACGUAUCUCAAUAGAGAAAUCAAGGCUUACGUAGUUCUGGGUAGAAAAAGUUUGUUUAGUGGUCGAUUUUAGCGAAAGCUAUAUUGUGUCAAUCGACGAAAACAUUGUUUUACCCAAAACAGAUGAGGAGCAGACGUAUACCACACAUCGAAUAGAUUUACAAAUCAACAUUCGGAAAAACGUCACUUAUCUUGACUCAACAAUCGUGGUCGAAACAUUGUUUUGCAUCACCUUAAGACAAUAUAUCUUUCGUUUAUGAAAAGGGUUUUUUGAUUAAUCGCACGGCAGCGAAAAAGAGUUUGAUUGGUUGGAUGUAUUUUUGAGUAAUGGCGAGAACUUGGAUGAGCGAGAUAUCCAUCUCGAAUCCUAGUCUCAGGAGUGCACGGUAUACACCAUGGUCCAUUUCCAUCUUACUGGAAAAAAGUAAUUAAUAAAGAUUAAGUGUUUUGAAUUUGAUUGAGAAAGGGUUUGAAGAAACCGCAUUGACAAUUUUAAAUGAUGGCGAGAGCUAAGGUAGGCGAGGCAUCCACCUCGAAUCUUAAUCUCAGGAGUGCACGAUAUACACCAUGUUCCAUUUCCAUAUUUAUUGAAAGAGGUUAAGAUAGGAAUUAAGUAUUUUGGAGUUUGAAAGACGAGUACUUGUGACUUGCAAACUCUUAUAGCUUGGGUCUAAUACUCGGGACUACGUCUGGACAUUCCACCCAGGCAGUCUGUUUCUUUCCAAUAUUGCUUGAAGAAAUGGUUCAAAUAUUUACGAGUGUUUUAGAGGGAAGACGAAUAUUUAUGGCUUGCAAGCUCUUACAGCUUGAGCCCAAUAUUCGGGAUUAUAACUGAAUAUUUCAUCCAGGAUAAUCUUUUUCAGCAAGCUCUUACAGCUUGAGCCCAAUAUUCGGGAUUAUAACUGAAUAUUUCAUCCAGGAUAAUCUUUUUCUUCAAAUUUUAUUAAGAAGAUGGUUUGAGAUAUUUACAGGUGUUUUGGAGAGAAGACGAACAUUUAUGGCUUACAAGCUCUUACAGCUUGAGCCCCAUAUUCGGGAUUAUAACUGGAUAUCCCAUCCAGGAUAAUCUUUUUCUUCAAAUUAUUAUUAAGAAGAUACGUUUGAAUAGAAGGAUUAAUGUGAAUGUUUGAGGUGUUGGUCAAUUAAAUUGAUAUGGCGCAUGAGUUCGUGGAGAAUAUGUCCAAAAGUAAAUUGGACGAAAUAAAUAAACAAAUUAUUUACAACACAUUAAAAAAUUUAAAUCGGAGAGAAUAGAAUCAACAAGCGUAAAAAAGGACUAGAUAACAAGGUACAAAAAUGGUAAGGUAAAUAGUAAGAAGUUAUAAAGGAUUUAAAUAAAACAGCAAGCACAAAAAUGAAAACAAUGAAGAUAUGUUAAUCCAGGACUAGAUAACAAGGUACAAAAAUGGUAAGGUAAAUAGUAAGAAGUUAUAAAGGAUUUAAAUAAAACAGCAAGCACAAAAAUGAAAACAAUGAAGAUAUGUUAAUCCCAAGUAGAGAACCCAUCCCGCUAAAGAGGAUGAAAUUGCUCUCUCUUCACUCGGCCACUUAUGGUCAUUUGUCUCCUUAACAACAACUUAAAUAUAUAAAGAAAAAUGGUUCAAGAUAAAUUAAAAUAAAAACUAACUAAAAUGAGAUGGGUUGUUUAAGCUAAUGGGCUACUAAAGCCCACAAAAAUGAUGAGGGAAUCCCAAAGAGUAACCCUAGCCGCCUGGCUGUUGGGUGGGAAUAACAAAGUUUAAUUAUCAUUAAUGUCAGCAGACAAUAGUUAAUAAAAAAUGCAAGGAAAAACCAAACGGUAUUAAGUUUUAAAUAGGUUUUAAAUGCCUUUAAAGUAAAUAAAAGAAAAAGAACUGGGAACGUGAAACAGAAUGCUAUAAAAAAACUCGUUCAUCUUCCUCAAGAAGACGAACGCAUUCUCUCAGCCUCACCCAUUCUCUUGACCUUUCUAAAUGCAAAUAAAGCUGUGGCUUUCAAAAAGAAUCAACAAAAAGCGCUCACCUUUGUCACUUGCUCUUAAAACCUCUCCGCUUCGAUACAAAUCUCCUGCUCCCACGAACUCCUACGCUUCGUCAAUCGCCGGUGGAGGAGGAGGCGACUUUUUCGGUGGAAAAUUACUAGGUUUUUUCGCUACAUUAGCCGUCCAAAUUCUUAGGGUUUUUUCGUCGUCCUCUCUGGUGGAGGAGGAGGCGACUUUUAUACUCACCUUGUUUAGGGUUUUGAGCUGGUUACUCAGAUCAAAAGGGAUACCCCUGCGAAAUCCUUUAGGGUGCUCACAGUUGUCUACCUCAUUUGGUGUUUUGUCUGGAAACGGUAACAAAUCCUAUACUUUCUUCCUGAAUUUGUCUUAAUUCCUCUUUUGGACUUUUACCGCCUUGCUGAGUUAAUGUGUCUUUUUACUGCAGUGAAACGCGAGCAAAUGAACGGAGAGGGUCUCUUCGCAAUGCAUAUAAAUUGCUCUUACCGCACAGAGCUGUCAUGUGAGUGAUGGUUUUCCUCUAUGUCAGAUUCUUCAGCCUGGGUAUUUUUCAAGUGCUGCUCGUGAGUAUCCUGCAUUUGUAGUUCAAGCCUUUUGAGCUGUUGUACCAUCUUUUAUAUGUUACUAGUUUUGCGAUUGCAGUCUCGAUGUAGUUCAAUCCUGCUGGAGAGUCAGACACACACUGGGGAGUAAUCGAAGUGAAAGUUGACAAACGACACUUAGAACAUCAGAUAUUUUGACAGUAAGUUCACACAUGACUUACUACAACUUGAAUAUUUUGAGAAAAUUUCCACAACAAGUUCAUACACGACUUGACGACACUGGAAUAAUUAAAGAGAAAGAUUCUUCAAAACAGGUUCAGACAUGACCUGCUAAUACUGGGAUAAAGGCUCAAAAGCAACGGGUUCAUACAUGACCUGACAAUGCUGGGGAAUACCAAGAACGGUUCUGACAGCAGGUUCAGACAUGACCUAACAAUGUUGGGGGAUAUCAAAAAGGUUCCAUAAACAGAUUCAAACAUGACCUGACAAUACUGGAAAAUGUACAAAGAAAGUUCCAUCAAUAGGCUCAUACAUGACCUAACAGCAUUGGAAAAUUCAAAGCGUUUCAACAAUAGGCUCAAACAUGACCUAAAAAUAUUAGAAAACCAAAGAAUUUUUAAUCAACAAGUUCAUAUGUGACCUCAACAUUUGGAUAUUCAAAGAAAAUUUCACUCACAGGUUCAGACAUGACCUGACGAUUCUGGAGAAAGUCAAAGAAUUUAAUAACAGGUUCAGACGUGACCUGACAAACUAGGAAACACAAAGAAAACUUCAACCGUAGGUUCAUACAUGACCUAAAAAUACUGACAAACAUACAUAUCAACUUUCAUCAAUAGGUUCAUACCUUACCUGACACUUUAGAAUACUUCUGACAAUUCUGGAGGUUUCUCACGAGAAAUUCAUCCAAUCAAAGAUUUUGGAGAUUCCUAAUAGGGAAAUUAUGCAAAACAAAGAUAAGCAGGAGUCUUCUUAUAAGUAGAUCAUCUGCGCAAAAGGUUAUGAUGAUUCUUUACAAAGAAAUCAAACAAAACCAACAUCAUUGGAGUUUUCUAACACGAAAAACCUCAAAGCUUCUGGGAAUUCCUCAAGAUGAUGAUGAGUCAUACAUGACUUUCACGGAACCAUCAGGAAAGACAGGGUAAUUAAACUCUCUGUACGUGCCAAACAACAAUUGGACUUUUAACCGUAAGUAAUGGAUUACAACCAACUUUUAACGGAAACGUGCCAAACAACAAUUGGACUUUUAACCGUAAGUAAUGGAUUACAACCAACUUUUAACGGAUAGGUGCCAACAACAAUUGGACUUUGACUGUAAACAAUGGAUUACAACCAGCUUUUAACAGAUUUUUGCCAACAAUAAUUGGACUUUGACCGUAAGCAAUGGAUUACAACCAGCUUUUAACGGAUUGGUGACAACUUUAACUGACCUUUAAAUGAUGUUGGCAACAACCAAACUUCAAGUAUCAAUUACGAUUGGAUUUUACAAAUAGAGUGACAGUGAUGCCAAUGACAAUUGGGUUUAAAAUGAGUUCUAGUAACAACUGAGCUUGGAAUAAUGCCUAGUAACACCUGAACUUUAGGUGACACCAAUGAGUCUUGAAAUAAUUCCAGGGAGUGGCAUAGGGGUUCUGAAAGUGCGUCAGAACAAAAAAUGACAUGUCUGGGAAUUCAUCAGAGAGUAAAAGAAACAAAUUCUGGAAAUGCAUCAGAAUUAUAAGUGAUACUCUGGAAAUACAGCAGAAUACAGACACAUCCGAUAAUACAUCAAGGAAAUUUUGGAAAUACAUCAGAAUUCAAAACAAACAUAUUCGAGAAUACAUCCGAUAGGUGGGGAAACAUCUGGAAACAUAUCAGACAUGUUAUGGAAAUACAUCAAUAAACAAAGGAGUAAUCCGGAAACUCAUCGGAUAAUCCCCAAAAGGAAAUGAGCUUCCUGGAAAAAUUGCCAACUGAGUCGGACUUGAAAAUGACUGCGAAAACCGGAUGAUGAUUUAAGGGCACCAAAGACAAACUGGAAUUAGAGGUCAAAGGAUAUAGAAUCAACAAGACCUGGAUCAACGCAAAAUGAGCCCGAAGUACAUUUCGGCUAUGCAUGAUUUGGAUUUUCUUUUAUGCAUGAUAUAUGAAUGAUCAUGAUAUGAAAAUGAUGACACUUGAGUGGACAGGGAGUUUGUAAAGACUUUUUAUGGAAGAUCAUGAUUCCUUAACACCGAGAACUCAACCAAAUAUUUUAUGAUAGAUGUUUUCAAAGGAGAAUUCUAUCCAGCUUGGCAGCCACAACUUAGCAAAUGGGAUCCUUUUGUAGGAUUAACGAAUCAUGCUAGCAUAAUUUCCGGGCACUCGUCUUAAACUCAAAAGUUGUUGAUGUAUGGCAGAAUUUGUUUGAGCAGUUUGAAAGCAUGAAGAAAAAGGUUAUGCCCCUCCGUGGCUCAUCUUGCCCCAGUCUGUUGGGUCUUUGAAAAUGUUCACGUUGAAAGUGGGUUCGGAAACAACUUGCCAUGAGACUACCUCGAGAUGGCUUGCCCCAAGUGUUUGAAACUUGCAAUGGUCUGAACUUGACUAACCAAAUGUUGGAAUGGUAGACUCUUGAUUGACUUUCCUUGGAUAGUUGGAAACUUGCCAUGAGACUACCUCGAGAUGGCUUGCCCCAAGUGUUUGAAACUUGCAAUGGUCUGAACUUGACUAACCAAAUGUUGGAAUGGUAGACUCUUGAUUGACUUUCCUUGGAUAGUUGGACUUAUUGAGCUCUGAUGUGGCUUGCCUCGGUCUGAGUCUUGAAGCAAAUUACUCUUGGCUAGAUGAUCCUUAGGGUGAUUAGCUCAAAUUAACUGAUGCUCAAAGUGAUUUGCCCCUGACUAGACUUCUUUCACUUUAUCAAGUUCCUCAACUGUAUUUGGAAUUUCUUUGAUGCUAAGUCUUGACUCACAAAUAAGAUUGUUCAUUCAAAAAUGGUAAUUUUAAUGCAAUGCUUAUGCAAAAAUUUGAAAUCAAAGUUUAUUGAUAUGAACGGGUGAAAUACAAUGAACGAGUCGUUGAUAAGAACACAAUGGUGAUCAAGUCAUUCACAGUAUGCAAGUUGGUGCCAUCAAAUGAUUAACAAAAAUCGUUUGGAGUCAGGUUAACACAACCUUGUUAUAGUAUGCUUUCAAUGAUAAGAACACAAUGGUGAUCAAGUCAUUCACAGUAUGCAAGUUGGUGCCAUCAAAUGAUUAACAAAAAUCGUUUGGAGUCAGGUUAACACAACCUUGUUAUAGUAUGCUUUCAGAAUAAACUUUGUCUCAAUUAGGUCUUUUAAGGAUUGUAACAUGGCCUGGUUCACGGUUUUUUGAAACAAAAGGAUAUAAGGCUCAAAAUUUAUUUUUACCCACCCCUUCUUCUUGAUGAUCUCCAAUUCCUAUGUUCAGUUAAUUCAAUACACGCAUUCGACUUCGAGGGUGCGAAACUGAAAAUGAGGAUUCAAGGUGAGAUUUUCUUGAGAUGGCAGUCACCUUAUUUUGCUUUGUCUUGUUGAGGAUUUAAUGACCUCUUUUGAUUGAUUUUCCUUAUCCCUGAUUUUGCCUGGACCGCUUCUUUGAAGCUUUUGGUCCAUCGGGAUGCCCUGACUUUUGCCUAAGUCAUUUUGUGGUAUUUGACUUAGCGGACUUUUUCUGUUUUUUUUACGUGUUGACUGUCAGGUUAUUGGCGGAUGAGGAUCAACCAACACUAAUUUUAGCUUUUCUCAACUUCUUCGACACCUCAACAUGUGCGCGAAGGAUAACAUGUGGUUGAACCUAAUUGGGGGGCGUGCAUAUGGACGAUUUUUUUGAAAGAUCGAAUGCACCGUCAAACUAUCUGAACACAACUACCCUGCCCUAGGUUAAGAUCAGAGGUUUUAGACCCAAAAGAAACACCAACUUCUAGGCUCAAAGUGGUUGACUAGGGAUUAACUCCUUAUCUCUUCAGUGUUUGGGGAUUUGAAACAAUGCCUUACAUCAUCGACAAGGUUUUAUUCAAAAGCAUACCACAACAAUUUCAGGUGUUUCGUUUUCAUCAUCCUCCUUCCAAUCUAAUCUCUUCAGUGUUUGGGGAUUUGAAACAAUGCCUUACAUCAUCGACAAGGUUUUAUUCAAAAGCAUACCACAACAAUUUCAGGUGUUUCGUUUUCAUCAUCCUCCUUCCAAUCUUUGUUAACACAACGGUUUGAUAAACAAAAGUGAAUGAGAGGAGUAUUUUUAUUUUUAACAUAAAUGAGAAACGAGUGAAUACGAAUGGAUUAAUUCAAAACAUGCAUAAACAUUUCAUUAAUCUUAUCAAUUCAAAGAAAACAACAAUGCUUAAAAGCAAUUAACAAUCAACAUGCGAGGAAACUCCAAAAGAGAUGCUGAAACAACCAAAUGAUUGCCAUCUUUAGGGAAUGACCUCUUCAAACUUGAUCCAUUAACUUCGGGGGACACCCCUUGAGAUCUUUGCACUUAUUCGGCUGAUGGGUUAACGUUUACCACCAAGCUUCCUUCUUGAAAGGCUAUGUACCCGUUAUCAAUCAACUAUUGUACUUUGGCUUUGAAAGCGUUGCAGUCUUUUGUUGAAUGCCCUUCUGAUCCAGCAUGAUAUCUACAUUGCAUAUUUGGGUCAUACCCGAGUGGGUAAGGUUAUGGAACCGGCUUGAGAGACUUGGGAACCACCAACGAGUUUUGAAUUAGAGGUUGUAGAAGUUGGCUAUAUGUCAUGAGGAUUGGAAAUCCAAGGCGAUAUCUCAAUGCUCUUACCAGGAAAUGAUGAAGAGACUUGGGAACCACCAACGAGUUUUGAAUUAGAGGUUGUAGAAGUUGGCUAUAUGUCAUGAGGAUUGGAAAUCCAAGGCGAUAUCUCAAUGCUCUUACCAGGAAAUGAUGAUAUCUCAUUAGCCAUAUCCUUGACCUCUUCCUUGUGGUACAAAACCUUGAGGGGUUUCAGGGGUCCUUUCCCUUUCACAUUACUUGGCCCAGAAAUCAAGAUAUAUGUACUUGAGCCUUCCUCCUUGAAUUUUCCUUAGACAUGGUUCUUUGUUCUAAACGCGUGUCAGGAAUCACUUUGCUGAUCAUGGACAAAGGAUGAAUGAGUUUUUUUGUGUAUUUUGUUUGGAAAAUGUCAUGCAUUAUGAUGAGAUGCAUAUGCAAUGGAAUGUAAAUGAAUGCAAUGCAAGCCAUGCAUUAUUUGUUUUUUCUCAAUACACGGGUUCAAAAGUCGGAGGUAGUGAUGAAUCUGAUUGCUUUCCAAGAAUAGGUUCUCACCGGGUAUGAUCUAGGGUUUCAAAAAAAUUCCUAGAGUCAUGGAUCCAUUAGACUGUUUGCUGUCUAUGGCAACUUACUUGCCAGACAUCAACUCCAUCCAAAGAAUCUAAUAUAAGUGAGGUUCUCGCAUCGAUCCAACGAGAAAUUCAUCUCGCAGACCCACACUACACAACCAUCUUUCCUAGUUGGCCAAAGAACUAAGGUUCUACAAAUGGUUCUCAGAGUCAUGGAUCCUAAAGAAAAUAUCGAAGCUUACGGUAACUUACUUGCCGAGCGACAACAUCCUCUCAAGAAUCUACUCUAAGUAAGGUUCUCGCACCGACCCAACGAGAAAUUCAUCUCGCGGACCCGCACUACUCAACCUUGUCUUAUCUUACGUUUUUACUCGAGACUCGGGUAAAAAGUCUUUCCCACAAGGUUUGCAAUCAGAGUAUCUUUGAGUCCCAAAGCAUAUUGAACCAAUACAACAAAUUUAUAUCAAUAGGACAAUAAAUAUAGCAAAAAAAAUAAAGAAAAAGCCACACAGGUAAACAAACAAAGGCACACAAACGCCCUAACUAGGCUUGACUCACUUAGGGAUAAGCAUUCCUCAGCAGAGUCGCCAUCUGUCGCACCUCGAAAAAUGGGAACACGACUUAGCGAAGCGCAAUCACACACUUGCAAUGAUGGACUGAACAGAGUCGCCACCGAACUUUAUUUAUUCCUAAAAAGGAAAGGGGAAAUAUCGAUAAAACCCAAGAAAGAACGACAAUGAUUAUGGUCGUCGCAACCUUCGGGAGUCGAUUACGCAAGGGGAAGGUAUUAGCACCCCUCACGUCUGUUGUACUCAACGGAACCAUUAGGUUAGUUGUGUGCAUUAGUGUUAGUUUUAAAUGUUAGGCUUCAAGUUAUUAAGUGGGAAAGAAUAGAAGAGGAGGAAUUGGAUUUUUGACGAAGGACUAAACCUAAGUUUUUUAUUAGUGGGCCUGACAAGAUUUACAAAUCCUGCUCCUACGUAUCUCAACAGAGAAAUCAAGGCUUACGUAGUUCUGGGUAGAAAAAGUUUGUUUAUUGGUCGAUUUUAGCGAAAGAUAUAUUGUGUCAAUCGACGAAAAUAUUGUUUUACCCAAAACAGAUGAGGAGCAGACGUAUACCACACAUUGAAUGGAUUUACAAAUCAACAUUCGGAAAAACGUCACUUAUCUCGACUCAACAAUCGUGGUCGAAACAUUGUUUUACAUCACCUCAAGACAAUAUAUCUUUCGUUUAUGAAAAGGGUUUUUUGAUUAAUCGCACGACGGCGAAAAAGAGUUUGAUUGGUUGGAUGUAUUUUUGAGUAAUGGCGAAAACUUGGAUGAGCGAGAUAUCCAUCUCGAAUCCUAGUCUCAAGAGUGCACGGUAUACACCAUGGUCCAUUUCCAUCUUACUGGAAAAAAGUAAUUAAUAAAGAUUAAGUGUUUUGAAUUUGAUUGAGAAAGGGUUUGAAGAAACCGCAUUGACAAUUUUAAAUGAAGGUGAGAGCUAAGAUAGGCGAGGAAUCCACCUCGAAUCUUAAUCUCAAGAGUGCACGGUAUACACCAUGUUCCAUUCCAUCUUUAUUGAAAGAGGUUAAGAUAGGAAUUAAGUAUUUUGGAGUUUGAAAGACGAGUACUUGUGACUUGCAAGCUCUUACAACUUGGGUCUAAUACUCGGGACUACGUCUGGACAUUCCACCCAGGCAGUCUGUUUCUUUCCAAUAUUGCUUAAAGAAAUGGUUCAAAUAUUUACGAGUGUUUUAGAGGGAAGACGAAUAUUUAUGGCUUGCAAGCUCUUACAGCUUGAGCCCAAUAUUCGGGAUUAUAACUGAAUAUUUCAUCCAGGAUAAUCUUUUUCAGCAAGCUCUUACAGCUUGAGCCCAAUAUUCGGGAUUAUAACUGAAUAUUUCAUCCAGGAUAAUCUUUUUCUUCAAAUUUUAUUAAGAAGAUGGUUUGAGAUAUUUACAGGUGUUUUGGAGAGAAGACAAACAUUUAUGGCUUACAAGCUCUUACAACUUGAGCCCCAUAUCCGGGAUUAUAACUGGAUAUCCCAUCCAGGAUAAUCUUUUUCUUCAAAUUAUUAUUAAGAAGAUACGUUUGAAUAGAAGGAUUAAUGUGAAUGUUUGAGGUGUUGGUCAAUUAAAUUGAUAUGGCGCAUGAGUUCGUGGAGAAUAUGUCCAAAAUUAAACCGGACGAAAUAAAUAAAUAAAUAAACAAAUUAUUUACAACACAUUAAAAAAAUUAAAUCGGAGAGAAUAAAAUCAACAAGCGUAAAAAAGGACUAGAUAACAAGGUACAAAAAUGGUAAGGUAAAUAGUAAGAAGUUAUAAAGGAUUUAAAUAAAACAGCAAGCACAAAAAUGAAAACAAUGAAGAUAUGUUAAUCCCAAGUAGAGAACCCAUCCACUAAAGAGGAUGAAAUUGCUCUCUCUUCACUCGGCACUUAUGGUCAUUUGUCUCCUUAACAACAACUUAAAUAUAUAAACAAAAAUGGAUCAAGAUAAAUUAAAUAAAAACUAACUAAAAUGAGAUGGGUUGUUUAAGCUAAUGGGCUACUAAAGCCCACAAAAAUGGUGAGGGAAUCCCAAAGAGUAACCCUAGCCGCCUGGCUGUUGGGUGGGAAUAACAAAGUUUAAUUAUCAUUAAUGUCACCAGACAAUAGGUAAUAAAAAAUGCAAGGAAAAACCAAACGGUAUUAAGUUUUAAAUAGGUUUUAAAUGCCUUUAAAAUAAAUAAAAGAAAAAGAACUGGGAACGUGAAACAGAAUGCUACAAAAAAACUCGUUCAUCUUCCUCAAGAAGACGAACGCAUUCUCUCAGCCUCACCCAUUCUCUUGACCUUUCUAAACGCAAAUAAACCCGUGGCUUUCGAAAAGAAUCAACAAAAAGCGCUCACCUUUGUCACUUGCUCUUCAAACCUCUCCGCUUCGAUACAAAUCUCUUUCUCCCACGAACUCCUACGCUUCGUCAAUCGCCGGUGGAGGAGGAGGCGGCUUUUUCGGUGGAAAAUUACUAGGUUUUUUCGCUCCAGUAGCCGUCCAAAUUCUUAAGGUUUUUUCGUCGUCCUCUCUGGUUAAUCAACAAAAUUAAACAAGAUUAAAAUAAAUUGGAAUCAUUAAGCAUGGACUAAUGGGGGAUUAAGGAAGACUAUGCGACAUGGGUUGUGAACCAAUGCAGGGUGGUACAAGAAGAAGAACGCUUGGGCCCUAGGCCCAAGCUCCCAAACAAUCCAAUAUGCCAAAACCGGAUCAUGACGUUUCCCUGUCCUUAUGAAUCAAGCUCCACACAUCCUCAACACCAUAUCCAUACAAAUGAAAUACUACGCACAACACAUGAACCAAGCUUCCAAUCCUAUGAACACAUAAUCUCCUUACACAGUAGCGCGCGACUUAUAGCCAAACAUGGAGCUAUCAAAUGCGGCAUGAGGAAUCGCUUCGAAUUCGUUUCAAUCUUGCAUGAACAACCAAGGAUCUCAAAGAAUGAAGAAUCAAGAACAAUGGAAUCCGCAUAGAAUUUCAACACCACGAAGGAACAAGACCGGAAUUGAGUAUGAUUUGCCUUUGCACACACAGAAGAGAAAAGAUUGAAGGGAAAAGAACUCACUAGAUUCAACGCCAACUCCCAAUUAUUGCGUCUCUUAUUUUGCUUAUGCGUGGUUGUUGUUGUUUGUAAUCUCGUCUUGUUGUGCGGAUUGAGGCGUGAUGGUGAAAAACAAAGAUAUUCAAUUGUUGUUCUUCGAUUCUUGAUUGUGAAAAGGUGAGAACCCUCCUGUUUUUCGAAUCACAAUGCCUUUGUUAUCUUCUCUCUUAUAUGCUAUGCAUCUGUUAGCUUUCCUAUUUUGAGUUCUUUCUGGUUGUGAAGUUAAAAGUUUGGUUAGGCGUUGGUCCAAGGUCAGGGGUGAUUACAAGUUUGUUUUCUCUCGGCCAAAAGUGGGAAGUUUGAGGUUAUGAAGGUUGAGAGGGAUUGCAGAGUCAGAGAUUGUUAGAGUUGUUAAGAGGGUGAUGAAGGUUCUGGAAAUCGUUUGGACUAAAGAAGGUGUUGAAGGGUUGUGUGGCUUUUAGGUGAGUUAAGGUGAGGGAUGAAAUUGAAUUCAGUUUUUUCAGGGUUAGUACGAGGGAGAUUGGAGAGGUUUUGUUGAAUUGGUUAUGGAGGUUCACAGUCUUUUUGCAGGUUCAGGAAAUUUUCUAUAGGGUUCUUUGUGAGUUCUUUGAAGGUUCAAUCCUAAUUUUGGUUUAUUGGAGGUUGAGAAAGUUAUCGAAAAGGUGAAUCGUGAAGUUCGAGGGUUCCUCAAUUGGAAGUUGUUAUGGAAGGUUUAAGAGGUUUUUGUUGAGGGAGUUAGAGGAGGUUCUGAAAUGAGUUCGAAGGAGUUUGUUAUGGCGGUUGAGAGGGUGAGAAAUUCUAUUUUGUUAGUUCUAUUAAGAGGGUGAGAAAUUAUAUUCUGUUACUUUUAUUAAGAGGGUUAUCAAGUUCAGGGUUAGUGAAAAAAAUUAGAGGUUGUUGUUAGGUUUGUUGGCAGUUAGGUUAUGUUGAGGCAAUUUCGGUUAGUUAUGAGGGAUUGAAAUGGUUCUGAAUCAAUUGAUUAUGAGGAGAGUGAAGUUAUGGAUUUUUAGUUAGAAGUUUAAUUGUUAACUCAUUCAAUUAGCGGUGAGUUGAGAAGUAGUUGGAAAAUGGUUAGGAAAAAGAGAAGUUGGUUCAGUUCAUUUUAUUUGGUUCUCGUUGUGAUUUCACUGGUGUUACUAGUCAUGUAUGUGUGUUCUGUUGAUAUGCUUUAUUGAUGUGAAGUUAGAAUAUGUAUUUUUGACUUUGCUUGAUUAUGACCUUGUUUUGCUUCUUGUUGCAGGAUCCUUUUGGCCAUGUUUGGAUAUUCUGACUCUGACUUUACUUUGGAAUUGUCUCUCAUCAUUCAUGUUACAUGUUCAAUGUAGGUAUUACUUUAUGGAGGAUGGUGGUUGAACCAAGGCAACAUGAUGACCAAUUUGGAUUAUAAAGCAUGAUGUGCACAAGGAAAUCCAAAGAAUCAGAUGGAAUUUGAAGAUUAGGAUUAGGAUUAGAACGGGGAUUUAGGGAUUUAGGAUGAAAAAUGGGUUAUGGUUGACUUUGGUCAAAUUUGACAAAAAAAGUCAACUGUUUACCAAAGUUAACAUAUUUUUUUUUGCAUUUGUUUGAUGUAAUGAAUAUUGUAAAUGAUUGUAAUGAUGGAAUUUGCUUGUAUUUGAAUGAAAUUGAAUUGGUCUUCAAUUGAAUCUUGUAUAUGAAAUGAGUGACUUUACCAUAUCAUGAAUCAUUGUAUGAACAUGUUUGAAAGAGAUUGAAAUGAAUGAAUUGGUGAACUAAAUGAUGA